UGGCUCAGACGGUAAAGUGUCUGCCUGCAAUGCGGGAGACCCAGGUUCGAAUCCUGG
rnacentral:tRNA from 1 species